GCACUGCUGGUACAGUGGUAGAAUUUUCGCCUUCCACGCAAGAGAUCUGAGUUUGAUUCCCAGCCACUGCA
rnacentral:tRNA from 1 species